rnacentral:rRNA from 1 species
GCGGCAGACGGGUGAGUAACGCGUGGGAMUCUACCUUUUGCUACGGAAUAACUCAGGGAAACUUGUGCUAAUACCGUAUGUGCCCUUCGGGGGAAAGAUUUAUCGGCAAAGGAUGAGCCCGCGUUGGAUUAGCUAGUUGGUGGGGUAAAGGCCCACCAAGGCGACGAUCCAUAGCUGGUCUGAGAGGAUGAUCAGCCACACUGGGACUGAGACACGGCCCAGACUCCUACGGGAGGCAGCAGUGGGGAAUAUUGGACAAUGGGCGCAAGCCUGAUCCAGCCAUGCCGCGUGAGUGAUGAAGGCCCUAGGGUUGUAAAGCUCUUUCACCGGUGAAGAUAAUGACGGUAACCGGAGAAGA